AAGAGUCUUUGUGGAGGCUGGGGGUGGGACGGAACACAAGGCUCCUUCAUCAUCACCCCUUGAUGAGAGAACCUCUUUAGGGGAGAUGCUUUUGUGCAGAUACUUAAAAACUUCCAUACCCUUAUAGGUGCAGGAAACAGAGAGUUCCCAGAAUGUGGGGCCUCUGAGGGAAUUGUGGUUUGUUAUGUGUCUAGGUUUGGGUUUGUAAAGCAGGCAUUGAAGAGUAGCUGUGAGUUUCCAGAAUUUGAGAGGAACAGGGUUGGUAGGUUAUGAGUGGAUCUGGGAGACCUUUCCUACACGGUCUGUUUCGAAGGUAUGGGCAGCUGUUGAAGCUACUUGAGGGAGGGGCUUGAGGUGGCCUGGCCGGAGGUCAAAAGAACCUGGAACUAACGCAAGGGUUAGAUGGACACUGUAACCCCGAGACACAAGCCAGGUGAAGGACAUUGGCUCUAUUUCUGUCAUUUUGCCAAACAUUUUGAAGAAUGGUGUGCCAAGUUCCUGUAAUGACGGACAGUGCUGUAAGUUGCAUGGAUAUCUUCAUUGGAACAACAGUACCACCACAUUUUUCUCAUUUGCCAUGGGCCAUUGAAAACUUUCACAAAAUUGCCACGGUCCUUGGACAGCAUUUCGUUUCCUCCGAUCUAGCCCAGCUCUGCUGCCUCAGCGACAGUGGCACAACGUCACAGAAGCUUCCACAUUUUUGCUUCUUUGAGGAGAUGGCCAAGGGAAGAGUUCUGGGUUGUAGAGAAUAUGACUGGAAACUUCAUGGUGAUUCUGAAAUCUCUGGCUUAUGGACAGAUUAGGGGUUCUCACCCUGCUUUCCCCUCUGAAGGUGUUUCUUUAUGGCCAUUUAGCAAAUUUCCCAGCAUCUUCAUCUUUGAUAAAGUUUGGGACUUUGUUUUCCGGCUCUCAUAUUUCCCUUUUGGUGUGUGUACUGCCUUUUCUAAGAUGUUUUUGGCUCUCCUCCCAACUAACUUUCAGCUGUUCUUUGGGAAAAGGCCAGAUAAUUCACAACUGUGAUGAAAAAACCCAACCCCAAACAGAAAAAUCCUGCAUGUCUUACCAUUUCUGGCAUCUGGUUUUGUUUUGUUUUGUUUUCCUUUAGUGGUGUUUAGUUUCUGGACCCAAAAGCCUGCAAUUCUAAUGGCCUACUUUCUGGUGUCCUUGCGUGAGAAUAAUGCUUGGAGAGUGCAGCCAUAAAUAGCGUGAUGGGCCCCAGUCUGCAGCUCUGAUGGUCCCCGCACAUCUGUUGUUCGAUUUUAAAGAGAACUGCUUAUGGAAAGGGCUGGCCAUUGAGUUCUCCGUGGAUAGCUAGCAAGGACUCUGAUUUCAAAACGGAAAAUGUUUGAUGUGAAGAUGUUUUGAACAAGAAACAAAAAACCUGUGUUCUAGUCCUGGCACUGCCGUUACUAGCCGUGUGAACUUCGGCAUAUCUCCAAAUUUCUUUGGGUUGCGGUUUCCUGAUGGGUAGAAUGAGGAUAUGAAUGCCUACCUCACAGAGUUGUUGUGAGAAUUAAAUGUGCUCUGUAAUCUGUCAUAUAAAUAUUUGCAAAUUUUUAUGGUUUAAGAGCCGUUUAAAAAUAUUCCCUGGCCACAUAGCAGACGCGCUGACUUUUCUACCCUCAGAUCAAGGGUUUUCACGGUCAGGUAUUGCAUAUUUAAAUUGCUGGAGCCAAAUUUUAUGUUUUUAUGUAAAUAUUUUUGUGCGGAGAGGGGUCCAUCAGCUUUCUUCAGUUUCUCUGAGGAAAAACCUAAAAAGGUAAAAACCAGUGCUUCAGAGCUGAAAAGUUGGGUUCAGUAACAGGAAUAAAUUUAUUGCUUCCAAUAAGUCCCUCUUAAUAUGUCCGCAGUAGCAGUUGCAUCGGUUUUCGCAUGGUGAAAUCCUCAAUGUGGCCUGAUGACGGUACAGACCGUUUGAAAUUGAAACAGACAAUCUUGGACGUACAGUCAUGGUAGCCAUUCGGUUAUCCAAUUGCCUACAGUGUGAAGGUGGGCGUAAAAGAAAUGAUUAACUAUAUGGACCUAAGAGAGUCACCUGACCUUGUGGAGUCUGUUACUUUUUGGGAAAGGGAGGGAUUUUGACCCUGAAGAUUUCCGAAGUCCCUAGUUUGAAUUUCCUAGGGAAGUGAGAGAAAAGCUGGAUUCGGCUGGAGCCCGGUUGUGGCAGAAACUAUCCAGGCUUUGUGUAGGAGGAGAAAGAGGGAGAAUCAGAGCGAGGAGGAGGGCCAGAGCAUCCAAGGAGCCUCGUCCUUGAUCAAGAUGGGCGACGCGAGCCUGCUGAGGGGAAGAGCCAGGGUGACAAGGGCAGGAAGAGAGCGGAUGGGCUACUUCUUAAGAUCCACCUGGGGGACCAGAGACUCUGCUUCCACCUUUCACGCUGGGACUGGCUUGCCAGAACACAAGCUGUCUCUCAGUGAGCGAACACGCCGUCUUCCUUGCACUCAGAGAAGUUCUAGUUCUCACAGGAGUACAUGCCUGGGGUCUUCCCACAUUCCCUGUCAGGUGAUUUGCCUACUUCAGGAAAAUGCCGCCCAGCAAAUGCCUCAAGAAACAAAGACUGGAAAACUGGCUCCUUGGUUUGGAAGCGGCACUGUCUGAGACUUGGUUCUUUGGAAAUAGACAAGGUCCCAUUCCAGGAGGAUUUUCAAGUAGAAGGUGAAUGGACAUCAACUAGGGACACUGAGAAUAAGGGCUUCAUGAUACAACGUUUGGCUGUCUCUUGAUGGGGAAGGGCAAGUGUGCUCUUGUGGUCAAGUAUGGGAGAGGUGGGUUCUGUCAUGUGGAAGUUUCUUUGAAAUUGCGAAUUUCCACUCAUGGAACAAUGGUGCCAUUAUAAGCUCAGCACCAAGGAAUGUAAAUGUCGCAUUAAAACCUUCUUGAGGUAUCUGCCGUCUCACAAUAUAUAUGCUUCAAAGUGAUGCUACUGCAUUAUAAUAAAGUAUCCUUUUGAUGACAUA